AGAGUAAGUCGUUCUAUCGCUCCGGCAGAGGCCGGAGAGGAAAGUCCGGACAGCGCAGAGCACCGUACUUCCUAACGGGAAGGCAGCGGAUUGGUGACGAUAAGCUGACAGCCAGUGCCACAGAAAAAAUACCGCCUGGCAUGAUAUUUUGUGCCGGGUAAGGGUGAAAAGGUGGUGUAAGAGACCACCGUUCCGGCGGUGACGCCGGAAGCGAGGUAAACCUUACGGGCUGAAAGACCAAGUAAGUACUGAGUUUGGGGCGGCUCGUUCCAGUUUUUACUUCUAAUCGUUGUAAAACCUCAGUACGGGUAGGUCGUUAGAGGCUCCGGGUGACCGGAGUCCUAGACAAAUGAUAGAAAUUCCGGCCCUUUGCAAAAAGGACUGGAAUACAGAAUCCGGCUUACAGGCUUAUUUUUAUU
rnacentral:RNase_P_RNA from 1 species